UUAAAUUGAAGAGUUUGAUCAUGGCUCAGAUUGAACGCUGGCGGCAGGCCUAACACAUGCAAGUCGAACGGUAACAGGAAGCAGCUUGCUGCUUUGCUGACGAGUGGCGGACGGGUGAGUAAUGUCUGGGAAACUGCCUGAUGGAGGGGGAUAACUACUGGAAACGGUAGCUAAUACCGCAUAACGUCGCAAGACCAAAGAGGGGGACCUUCGGGCCUCUUGCCAUCGGAUGUGCCCAGAUGGGAUUAGCUAGUAGGUGGGGUAACGGCUCACCUAGGCGACGAUCCCUAGCUGGUCUGAGAGGAUGACCAG
rnacentral:rRNA from 1 species